rnacentral:rRNA from 1 species
UUUUGCGGAUUUCUUCGGAUUGAAGCAACUGUGACUGAGCGGCGGACGGGUGAGUAACGCGUGGGUAACCUGCCUCAUACAGGGGGAUAACAGUUGGAAACGGCUGCUAAUACCGCAUAAGACCACGGGACCGCAUGAUGCAGUGUGAAAAACUCCGGUGGUAUAAGAUGGACCCGCGUUGGAUUAGCUAGUUGGUGAGGUAACGGCCCACCAAGGCGACGAUCAGUAGCCGACCUGAGAGGGUGACCGGCCACAUUGGGACUGAGACACGGCCCAAACUCC